AUAGCGUAUAUUAAAGUUGUUGCAGUUAAAAAGCUCGUAGUUGAAUUUCGGGAUUGGCGCAUCGGUCGUGCCUCACGGGGUAUGAACUGGUGCAGUCAAUUUCUCACCUUCUGGAGAACCGCGAUGUCCUUAAUUGGAUGCCGCGGGGAACCAGGACCUUUACUUUGAAAAAAUUAGAGUGUUUAAAGCAGGCAUUUUUGCUUGAAUACAUUAGCAUGGAAUAAUAAAAUAGGACGGCAUGGUUCUAUUUUGUUGGUUUCUAGGACCACCGUAAUGAUUAAUAGGGAUAGUUGGGGGCAUUAGUAUUCAAUUGUCAGAGGUGAAAUUCUUGGAUCGAUUGAAGACUAACUACUG
rnacentral:rRNA from 1 species